rnacentral:tRNA from 5 species
GGGCGGGUAGCUCAGCUGGUUAGAGCAUUUCGUUUACACCGAAGAGGUCGGGGGUUCGAGUCCCUCUCCGCCCA